GACGAACGCUGGCGGCGUGCUUAACACAUGCAAGUCGAACGGUGAAGCGCUUGCCUUUUUGGUGGGUGUGGAUGAGUGGCGAACGGGUGAGUAACACGUGAGUAACCUGCCCUCUUCUUCUGGAUAACCUCAUGAAAGUGGGGCUAAUACGGGGUAUUCCGGGUCUGUCGCAUGGCGGGUUUGGGAAAGAUUGCGCCUUUGGGUGUUUUCGGUGGGGGAUGGGCUCGCGGCCUAUCAGCUUGUUGGUGGGGUGAUGGCCUACCAAGGCGGUGACGGGUAGCCGGCCUGAGAGGGUGGACGGCCACACUGGGACGGAGACACGGCCCAGACUCCGGCGGGAGGCAGCAGUGGGGAAUAUUGCACAAUGGGCGCAAGCCUGAUGCAGCGACGCCGCGUGAGGGAUGGAGGCCUUCGGGUUGUGAACCUCUUUCGCCAGUGAAGCAGGCCUGCUCCUGUGUGGGUGGGUUGACGGUAGCUGGAUAAGAAGCGCCGGCUAACUACGUG
rnacentral:rRNA from 1 species